AAGUGCAGAAAGGGCCCAAUCUGGUAGAUGAACCACACAACCAGCAUCUGGGUGCAGGCACAGUGCCACAUUUUUUGUCACUUCCUGAUGUACCCCCCCAGCACUGAAGAGACAGCCUGGAGACAGGACAAGAGGAAGGCUGAGAAGGAUGAGAUGGUGAGUGCCAGAUUCUUCCUGGCCCUGAGCCCUCCCUCAGAGUGACACUCAACCUUUAGGAGUGGGAGAGCAAGAUUGACGGCUUCAAGUGCUUCACCAAGAAGAUGGACAACAGGGCUCUCAGGUCAACUUCACAGCCAAUGAGUGGUGACAGGCUUUAAGAAAGAGCAUCUUCCACAUUGUCAGUGAGCUCUUUGCCAAUCAGUCCAGGCAGGACCCCGACCCAGCCAUGGGCCUGUUAGUGCUGUCUCAGGUACACAAGACCAACAUCUUGGACAUCAUCCAGAUACACAAGGAAGCUCUUACCAAAGUCACGGAGAGCAGGCAACAUGUGGCAGAAGGGAAUACAGAGGUGCAGAGGCUGAUGAUGUCAGAAUCACAGGAACAGGAUUUCUUUGGCUACUUUGGCUGAAAUUCACCACUUCCAUCCAAUUCCAGUGAGAGACAUGGACUCACAGGUGCAGCAUUUCUUGCAACAAGAGAUACUACUUUUUCAAAAAGUCACUGAGGAAUUG
rnacentral:lncRNA from 1 species